rnacentral:rRNA from 1 species
ACGACGCUGGCGGCGUGCCUAAUACAUGCAAGUCGAACGCUUCUUUUUCCACCGGAGCUUGCUCCACCGGAAAAAGAGGAGUGGCGAACGGGUGAGUAACACGUGGGUAACCUGCCCAUCAGAAGGGGAUAACACUUGGAAACAGGUGCUAAUACCGUAUAACAAUCGAAACCGCAUGGUUUUGAUUUGAAAGGCGCUUUCGGGUGUCGCUGAUGGAUGGACCCGCGGUGCAUUAGCUAGUUGGUGAGGUAACGGCUCACCAAGGCCACGAUGCAUAGCCGACCUGAGAGGGUGAUCGGCCACAUUGGGACUGAGACACGGCCCAAACUCCUACGGGAGGCAGCAGUAGGGAAUCUUCGGCAAUGGACGAAAGUCUGACCGAGCAACGCCGCGUGAGUGAAGAAGGUUUUCGGAUCGUAAAACUCUGUUGUUAGAGAAGAACAAGGAUGAGAGUAACUGUUCAUCCCUUGACGGUAUCUAACCAGAAAAGCCACGGCUAAACUACGUGCCCAGCAGCCCGCGGUAAAUACGUAGGUGGGCAAGGCGUUUGUCCCGGGAUUUUAUUUGGGGCGUAAAAGCGAGCGCAGGGCGGGUUUUCUUAAAGUCUGAU